AUUGAACGCUGGCGGCAGGCUUAACACAUGCAAGUCGAGCGAGCGGCGGACGGGUGGGUAAUUUCUGGGAAACUGCCUGAAGGAGGGGGAUAACUACUGGAAACGGUAGCUAAUACCGCAUACCAUCGGAUGUGCCCUGGUGGGAUUAGCUAGUAGGUGGGGUAAAGGCUCACCAAGGCUACGAUCCCUAGCUGGGCUGAGAGGAUGACCAGCAACACUGGAACUGAGACACGGUCCAGACUCCCACGGGAGGCAGAAGUGGUGAAUAUGGCGCAAUGGGCGAAAGCCUGAUGCAGCCAUGCCGCGUGUAUGAAGAAGGCCUUCGGGUUGUAGAGUACUUUCAGCGGUGAGGCGUUACCCGCAGAAGAAUCACCGGCUAACUCCGUGCCAGCAGCCGCGGUAAUUC
rnacentral:rRNA from 1 species